CUCUUUUAAUUUAAAGCUAUUACCCCUUGUCCUACCAUUAUCACACUGUGUAAAAAGUGGAUCCCUUCUUCUUGAUGCUGAGACAACUGACCUAAUCCUGGUGAACAUUUCAGGAUCAUCACUUGGAGAAAAAAAAGAAGCAGUGUGGAAAUGGCUAUUUUUCCCAUUGUGGCCUCUGAGAAGCCUGAAGGUUUUGCAUGUGAGAAAGAACUGUAAAAUCACAGAAUUAUAGAAUCAUUAAGGUUGAAAAGACCACAAAGGUCAUCUAGUCCAACCAUUUGUUACACAGUGUAUUCCACAUGUGAGAUUUCAGGUUUGUUGCUAUGAAUACAAAGACCAAGAUGCUUCCCAUCACACUAGCCCCAUUGACUGUGCCUAUAUUUGUAAAUGGGAUCUGAAGGUCUCAGAGAAAAUGACCCUUGGUUCCUUGAGAGAAAGACAAGAGCAGGAUGCCUUUUUCCUCCUCUUCUGAUUGCUGAGAAUGGUAUGCACGGACGUGAGGGAGAGGCUCUUUAGAACUUUGUUCCAGCACUUCAUGCAAAAGAAGCAGAAAAGUACACAGAGCACUGAAGCGGUUAAUAGUUUCAUUCUCCCGCUCUCUUCAGGUCAAAAGAGCAGUGACGGCUGUUGUAGCCAGCACUGGGCUGGGAGGGCUGCUGUGGGCAGAGUGCUGCACUGCAUGGCUGGGAACAGGCUGUGGAAAAGGCCUUGGGGGGAAUGCCCAUUACCUGCACCUGUGCACACAUUCACACCAACAAAUGCACGUACACAGCUGCAGCCAACAGGGGAAACACGGAGGGGAUCGAGCGCUUGGCUACACUCGAAUGCUUACUCUGGAAACAGCCCAAAGACAGCACAUGUCCACAGGCACCAGGGUCCCAUCCCUUAGUCACAGCUCUGCAGAAGCAGGUCCCUCCAUCAGAGGUCCUCAACGCCUGGAGGGAAGUCGGCUGUGGAGAAGGACUGCUUGAGACUUUUAUUCCCCUUCCGUCUUGGAAACGAUGCCGGCAGCCCCGUGCAGCAGCUCCCCUCCUUCCCCCUCCCUUGCCUCAGCCCCUAUGAGGGGGGAGGAAGAGCGUGGGCGGUGGAAGGAGUUGUGGUCCCCAGAUGUGUGAAUUGUUGCCGAGAAGAAAUAGCGCACCACGGACAAACAGCAGAGCGGCUCAGCUGAGGGAGAGCCAUCGCGCUGGGCUUGCGUCACUGACCUUUUCCUCUCGCCCUUCUCAGUCCUCACCUGACCCUCCCACUGCUUCCCCUGCACUUUGUACUCAGCCAUCUCUCUGCGCAGCGCUCUGCAAUGGUGAUUAAAGCAGGCACGGGAGCUUAGAGAGGGGGAGGAAAGUGGAAAAAAAAAAAAAAAAAAAAAACACCCUAGAGCAAAAAGAGGGCAUUGCAGCCAUUAUCUCUUCAUUUCCCUUGAGUUCACAUCGCCCAUCCCACCAUUGACCCAGCACACCGCAGUCCCUGCCUGCUGCAGCCACUGCAAUGUAAGCACAGUGGUUCUGCCUCUGUUGGCAGCGCUACAGAUGGGGGAGGAGAAGCAAGCUGUCCUGGGGUCAGGGGGGUGCUCCGGACUGAAGUACGUGAACAAAUGGAAAUGCUAAAAAAAAUAAAAAUGGG
ensembl:lncRNA